rnacentral:rRNA from 1 species
AGUGUGCCCUUGGCCGGCGUGCCUAAUAUAGGCAAGUCGAGCGAAUGGAUUAAGAGCUUGCUCUUAUGAGGUUAGCGACGAACGGGUGAGUAACACGUGGGUAACCUGCCCAUAAGACUGGGAUAACUCCGGGAAACCGGGGCUAAUACCGGAUAACAUUUUGAACCGCAUGGUUCGAAAUUGAAAGGCGGCUUCGGCUGUCACUUAUGGAUGGACCCGCGUCGCAUUAGCUAGUUGGUGAGGUAACGGCUCACCAAGGCAACGAUGCGUAGCCGACCUGAGAGGGUGAUCGGCCACACUGGGACUGAGACACGGCCCAGACUCCUACGGGAGGCAGCAGUAGGGAAUCUUCCGCAAUGGGCGAAAGUCUGACGGAGCAACGCCGCGUGAGUGAUGAAGGCUUUCGGGUCGUAAAACUCUGUUGUUAGGGAAGAACAAGUGCUAUUUUGAAUAAGCUGGCACCUUGACGGUACCUAACCAGAAAGCCACGGCUAACUACGUGCCAGCAGCCGCGGUAAUACGUAGGUGGCAAGCGUUAUCCGGAAUUAUUGGGCGUAAAGCGCGCGCAGGUGGUUUCUUAAGUCUGAUGUGAAAGCCCACGGCUCAACCGUGGAGGGUCAUUGGAAACUGGGAGACUUGAGUGCAGAAGAGGAAAGUGGAAUUCCAUGUGUAGCGGUGAAAUGCGUAGAGAUAUGGAGGAACACCAGUGGCGAAGGCGACUUUCUGUCUGUAACUGACACUGAGGCGCGAAAGCGUGGGGAGC